AACGAACGCUGGCGGCAUGCCUAACACAUGCAAGUCGAACGAGACCUUCGGGUCUAGUGGCGCACGGGUGCGUAACGCGUGGGAACCUGCCCUUAGGUUCGGAAUAACUCCCCGAAAGGGGUGCUAAUACCGGAUAAUGUCUUCGGACCAAAGAUUUAUCGCCUUUGGAUGGGCCCGCGUUGGAUUAGCUAGUUGGUAGGGUAAAAGCCUACCAAGGCGACGAUCCAUAGCUGGUCUGAGAGGAUGAUCAGCCACACUGGGACUGAGACACGGCCCAGACUCCUACGGGAAGCAGCAGUGGGGAAUAUUGAACAAUGGGCGAAAGCCUGAUCCAGCAAUGCCGCGUGAGUGAUGAAGGCCUUAGGGUUGUAAAGCUCUUUUACCCGGGAUGAUAAUGACAGUACCGGGAGAAUAAGCUCCGGCUAACUCCGUG
rnacentral:rRNA from 1 species